GCGGGUGUAGUAUAGUGGCAAUACGCGACCUUCCCAAGGUUGAAUCGUGGGUCCAAUUCCCAUCACCCGCU
rnacentral:tRNA from 1 species